GCGGGAAUAGCUCAGUUGGUAGAGCACCACCUUGCCAAGGUGGCUGUCGCGAGUUCGAGCCUCGUUUCCCGCU
rnacentral:tRNA from 1 species